rnacentral:rRNA from 1 species
CCUACGGGUGGCAGCAGUGGGGAAUAUUGGACAAUGGGGGCAACCCUGAUCCAGCCAUGCCGCGUGUGUGAAGAAGGCCCUCGGGUUGUAAAGCACUCUCAGUGAGGAAGAACGCCUGGUGGUUAAUACCCAUCAGGAAAGACAUCACUCACAGAAGAAGCACCGGCUAACUCCGUGCCAGCAGCCGCGGUAAUACGGAGGGUGCGAGCGUUAAUCGGAAUUACUGGGCGUAAAGCGCGCGUAGGUGGCUUGAUAAGCCGGUUGUGAAAGCCCCGGGCUCAACCUGGGAACGGCAUCCGGAACUGUCAAGCUAGAGUGCAGGAGAGGAAGGUAGAAUUCCCGGUGUAGCGGUGAAAUGCGUAGAGAUCGGGAGGAAUACCAGUGGCGAAGGCGGCCUUCUGGACUGACACUGACACUGAGGUGCGAAAGCGUGGGUAGCAAACAGGAUUAGAUACCCCGGUAGUC